GAUAAACGCUGGCGGUGUGCUUUAUGCAUGCAAGUCGAACGGGCUUUAGCAAUAAAGUCAGUGGCAGACGGGUGAGUAACACGUAAGUGACCUACCCUAAAGUGGGGAACAACUCCUAGAAAUGGGAGCUAAUACCGCAUGUGAUCCUUCUUUUUAAUUUGGAGGAUUAAAGCCGAAAGGCGCUUUUGGAGGGACUUGCGUCCGAUUAGAUUGUUGGUGGGGUAACGGCCUACCAAGUCUGCGAUCGGUAGCUGGUUUGAGAGGACGACCAGCCACACGGGGACUGAGACACGGCCCCGACUCCUACGGGAGGCAG
rnacentral:rRNA from 1 species